rnacentral:lncRNA from 1 species
GAUGAGCAUGAUGUAUAUGCAUUCUUAUUCCUAUUGACCUUCGAUUCAAGUAAAACAUAUCAAAAAUCAAAUGUAUAAAACAAAUAUAGUAGUGAAGAAACUUAGAUAUGAUUUAUGUAUGUGAGGAAAUAAAUAAAUGAAAGAUCCUCUCCUAAACACAUAACUUCAAGACAAACAAUAUUGGUAUAACCAUCGAGUGGAUAAAUUUUAGGAGGGCCAAACUUAUGGGUGGUCACUUAAAGUUGGCAUCAAUUUUUACUUAGAUUUCUUAACUAAGCUUUGUUCAUUUUAAAC